AAAGGGCCCAAUCGAAAAGUCCAACUACCUAUUAAAAAAAAAAAAAAAAAAAAAAAGAAAAUGCUCUUAAUUGAGAAUUGCGAAACAGACGUUAGGACUUAGGCAUUCAAUUCAACUUCUAGGAAAUCGAAAAUCACGGAUUUCAUGGCAUUGAAAAAUGUAAAUCAAUCACCUCACCAACUUCCCAAAUUUAAUUUCCUACUUUCCUUCCUCAAUAUUCAAUCUCCAUAACUCCAUUCAAUCACCAUGAUUCAUCUCCCCUAAUUUAAUUUUCUUUCCUAUUCCAAAAUCUCAAUUCCAAAAAUAUUGUUUUGAAUUUUCAACUGAAAUUUCACAUCAGAUUAUCAAUUUGACCGAAAAAAAAGAUUUUGCCAUCAAUGGAACCGAUAAUUUCGCAACAAACGGCUAGAUUUUCCCCCUUUAAAUUCUUCUACUUUUUUCAAACAAAUCAUCAAUUUCAUAUUCUCAUUCGAAGAAAAAAAUUAUCAGAUUUAGAUUUGGGGAUUCAUUGAUUUGUUGAAGAUGAAGAACAAGAUUCACAGAGCCAAAGCUAAAGAGUAAAGAUUAGGAGAAGCCGAUAAGCCGAUAAGCCGAUAAUAUCAUGUUGCAUCGGUCCAUCUUUUACUUUUAGUAAUAUUUUGCUUAUCGCACUUUUUUUAAAUAUUAGGGGCCCCAUUUUUUAGAUUUGGACAAGAUUAGAACAGGGCCUCCGAAAAGUUCAAGACGGCCCUGUUCGAUAGUCAUGUUGUCCUAGAAGUAUUUUGGUCUUAUUAUAAGGGCAAUAUAAUUACAAAUGGGACAAGGGGAUUCGAACUUGAAAUCGAUUGUACACAGGCCCUCAGUUUAGGUCAGAAUCUCAUUGGUAUCGACAAUUGAGUAGAUGUGUUGGAUUCAAGUUAGUUAUUUUGGAAAAAUAGAAAUGUGCAAUAGAAAGAGCUUGAAUACAGUCGUAGACCAUUAGACCAAUCCCAAACCUUUAAAAUGCAUGCAAUUGGAGUACUAUGCUUAUAAAUAAUCAUAUGGGUCACCAAAUCACAAAAUACAUGCAAUUGGAGUACUAUGCCCACGUUACAACUAAAACCCGAUUCCAGGCAUUUAUUUCAAAAUCAAAAUUCAUUUGUUCAACAAAUAUGUGACCAACCAUUUUACACAGAAAUGGGGCAAACCAGUACUAGGAUAACAAAUACAAUCAAUAAGAAAUAUAACCAACCAUCUCAAUGUCUCGGUUUGGGGCCGAACAUGGAUACCAAAGAAAGAAAUUUCGCUAGGCGCUAAACACCCAUCUAAAAUUUUUUAAAAUAAAAAAAAUAUCAGUUCUUCACAGUUGUGACAAACUUCAGCAACAUCUGAACAACUUCAGGAGAUAUACUGGAAGAUUGUGCCUUCAGCUGUUCGAUUUUAGCAUCAGUUUCUUUUUCAAGACGCUUCACAUUAGCACCAGAGUCUCCGCUACUCUGUAACAUUAGGAUAGGAAAGAAUGAACACAGUUACAAUGAGUAAUAGGUUGAAAAUCAAAACGAAAGACUUUAAAAACAAAUAGCGAGAUUAACUCUCAUUUGAACGCUGUAUUUUUGGAGGAUAAGCGUCCUUAAACCUCUGUUUUAAUUUGCUAAUGAACCCGACUUGCUCUAGUAGAAAAAUCGUACAAAAGCCACGGCACAAAUGAUGCGCUUAUAUUACAAGCGCAUCCUUUGGUUUAUAUAAUUAUAUUUUUAUUUUCUUAAAAAUAAUUUUAAGAUCCGCUGAUAGGAAAAGCGAAUCAUUUGUAUCUCCUCUCUCUCCUCCUCAUACGGUCACUGGCUCUGGCUCAUUGCUGCUUCUCGCUCUUUCACUGCUUCGCAUCUCCUUCUCUCUCCCUAGCUUGCAUCUCCUCCUCCCUUUGAGAUUUAAUGGUGAUAUUUCUUGUUGCGACGGCGGAGCGAGGGUGAAGGUGGUGCUUGUGGCGCUUCAAAAUCUUGCUUAGGGUUUCGAUUUGGGAUUUUUCUUGGAAACGAGGAAUUAGCCCUAACACUGAAGAAGCUAAAUAAGAGUGGAAUUUACUAAUUGUUGCAGGAUGAUGGGAGUUUAAGGAGGUAGAAAUAGAAGCUUCUAGGUCGUGUUGGAGGAGACUUAACUGGUUGGCCUUUGAGGAUACCUUUCUUUUGCCUCUUUCCAUCAAAUUUCCUACUUUCUGAAUAUAAGUUCUUUUUGCACAUCUUUGUCGGGCCAAGUGGAACCUGAAGUUACAUUUCACUCCAUAGGAAUUAUGUCCAAGACCUUGGAGAAAAUAAUACUCGUUUGCUUCUGGCUGAAUAGCAAAGUUCUGUUUUCAUUCAAAGAGGACUCUCAGUAUCGUUUUAAGCUCGUAUUCACUGUCAAGUACAAUAUUGUCUCUAGUCUCACCUACUCUAACACCGUAUGGAGAGCAAAAGUUCAAGGUGAAUAUUGCUGCAAUAAGGUUAGAACGCAAAUCGUUCAUCGACAUUUUUUGUACACGUUAUCUCUAAACUUCGUUCAUCGAGAUUUUUUGUACACGUUAUCUCUAAAUCGUUCAAGGUGAUUGGGAGUUAAACUUUGCUGUCAGCAACACAUGAUUUUGAACAAUGCUUUCUAAUCCAUAUAGAUGUAAACUGGUUAGGCAACAUUGGAAUUGUUAAAUCAACUUAUUAGUUACUUUUGACAAUUGAUUGUUUUAUUAAAAUGGAAAAGAUUAUCUUGUUUGGCUUGGCCAAUUUACUUCA